UACGGGGGGAGCAAGCGUUGUUCGGAUUUACUGGGCGUAAAGGGCGCGUAGGCGGCCACCGCAAGUCGGUUGUGAAAUCUCCGGGCUUAACCCGGAACGGUCAAUCGAUACUGCGGGGCUAGAGUGCAGAAGGGGCAACUGGAAUUCUCGGUGUAGCGGUGAAAUGCGUAGAUAUCGAGAGGAACACCUGCGGCGAAGGCGGGUUGCUGGGCUGACACUGACGCUGAGGCGCGAAAGCUAGGGGAGCGAACGGG
rnacentral:rRNA from 1 species